GCUCGGCUCGACUCUCCCACCCUAUGUGUACCUACCUCUGUUGCUUUGGCGGGCCGCGGUCCUCCGCACCGGCGCCCUUCGGGGGGCUGGCCAGCGCCCGCCAGAGGACCAUAAAACUCCAGUCAGUGAACUUCGCAGUCUGAAAAACAAGUUAAUAAACUAAAACUUUCAACAACGGAUCUCUUGGUUCUGGCAUCGAUGAAGAACGCAGCGAAAUGCGAUAAGUAAUGUGAAUUGCAGAAUUCAGUGAAUCAUCGAAUCUUUGAACGCACAUUGCGCCCCUUGGUAUUCCGAGGGGCAUGCCUGUUCGAGCGUCAUUUCAACCCUCAAGCUCUGCUUGGUAUUGGGCCCCGUCCUCCACGGACGCGCCUUAAAGACCUCGGCGGUGGCGUCUUGCCUCAAGCGUAGUAGAAAACACCUCGCUUUGGAGCGCACGGCGUCGCCCGCCGGACGAACCUUUGAAUUAUUUCUCAAGGUUGACCUCGGAUCAGGUAGGGAUACCCGCUGAACUUAAGCAUAUCAAUAAGCGGAGGAA
rnacentral:rRNA from 1 species